AGUUCAAUAGGCAUCAAUGGUAUGAUUGUGAUAAGAGAAGCGUGGAUUAUCUUGAUAUUCCUAAUUUCUAUAGGGAUCUCAAUAUAGAGAAAUUUUUAGAUUGGAUCACGAAGGUGAAUAGAUUCUUCGACCAUAUGGAUAUAGCACCUGAAAAAUGAGUCCAAUUGAUGGCUUAUUGGUUGAAAGGUGGUGCUUCUGCUUGGUGGGA
rnacentral:misc_RNA from 1 species